AGCCUGGGUGGCGCGGCCGGUCCUUUUUCUCCUUUCCCUUCUUUCCCUUCUUUUCCCUUCCCGGUGCCGCCCGCCAUGACUCGCUGCCGCCUCAGCGUUAUUCCCGGGGGCGGGGCCGCAGAUGAGGGAACUGAGGCACAGAGAAUGGAAGUGAUUGACCGAAGGUCACAAGCAGUUGCGGAGUCCAAUCUCGGAAGCGAACCGUGGCAGACGUGAGUUCACCUGAACAGAUCGUGUCCACAGGCUAUGUGUGUUUAUAU